rnacentral:rRNA from 1 species
GUGUCAGCCGCCGCGGUAAUACGUAGGGGGCAAGCGUUGUCCGGAUUUAUUGGGCGUAAAGAGCGUGUAGGCGGCCAGAUAGGUCUGUUGUGAAAACUCGAGGCUCAACCUCGAGACGCCGAUGGAAACCAUUUGGCUAGAGUCCGGAAGAGGAGAGUGGAAUUCCUGGUGUAGCGGUGAAAUGCGCAGAUAUCAGGAAGAACACCCGUGGCUAAGGCGGCUCUCUAGUACGGUACUGACGCUGAGACGCGAAAGCGUGGGGAGCGAACAGGAUUAGAUACCCGUGUAGUCC